UUCUUACUUACCAUUCCCUGAAUCUUUGUCAGCUGCAAACUUUAUCAGUAAUAAUUUUGUUUUCUUCCAGGUCACUGAUACCGUUGAUGGACAGUGUUCCAGCCUGCAAGGGGAAACCUCAACUUUUGCAGUGUUCCAGCCUGCAACUGGCUGCUGGGGGCAUGGCCAGGAUGCAGCCAGAUGAAGAUGCCAUCAGGAUCACUCCGUGAAGUAAUUUAUUUUGAAAAGAAUUUCUGGAGAGGAAUGGGAAGAGGAGUGGCAUUUCAGCAAAUUCUUAAACUACCUUUUUGAUAAGCAAUCAGAGCCCAAGUUGAAAGAAAAUAAAUAUCCUGACAUUUCCACAAUAUUGUAAACAGACAGGAGAUUAAAUAAUUAAUUCUAGGUCUAUAAACUACAAUAAAUCUGAAUUUUCUUACCCA